rnacentral:misc_RNA from 1 species
AAAAAAAAAAAAAAAAGACAGCGAAAGAUAAUAUAACAGAACAUAUUUUGCUUUGUGCUACUACAAUUUUGUGCAGGCAAAAGAUGGUGACUCAAAAGAGAGAGUGAUAUAGCAUAUAACUUAGUUUUCUUUGAUUAGUUUAGCCAUGGCUAUCAAGCUUCUUCUUCUUCUUUUUAUCUUCUUUUUUUCUUUAGUUAGACUCGGUCUGUCUUACGAACCUCGCAACAAUGAAGUGGAGGCUUUGAUAAGUAUAAGAGAAGCAUUGGAUGAUCCACAUGGUGUGUUAAACAACUGGGAUGAGGACUCUGUAGACCCCUGCAGUUGGGCUAUGAUCACUUGCUCAUCUGACAAUCUAGUUAUUGGCCUUGGUGCUCCAAGCCAAUCUCUCUCGGGAACUCUGUCCGGGACUAUAGGAAAUCUCACUAAUCUUCGCCAAGUGUAAGAACUGAGCGCUUCUUUACUCUUCGUCACCAUUGUCGUCAUCCUCAUCAUCAUUAUUAUUGCUAUACACCCGACCCUUUGCUUCUUUCUCUAUGAAUUUGUUGUUUCCUUUUUUUCUGUUUGGUUCCCUAGAAAAAGGGCAGUGAAGGACCAAAAUUCUGGGUUAUAAGUUUUCACUUUUUUUGAUUUCCAGUCUAAUUGGUUUGGCCUAAACUUUAAACUGAAGUGGAAUCUCAUGAUUCAAAACACUUUUUCAGCAACCAAACAGAGAGACUUAAGUAUAUAUGUACCUGUGUUUAUUUAUUUAGCUAUUUUUAUUAUAGAUCACAACCCAAUUUGUGUACGUAAAUGUUUUAUACUGAGUAUUUUCAUGUUCCAUUGUUUUGAUCUGCAUAUGAAGGUUGUUGCAGAAUAAUAACCUCUCAGGGGAAAUCCCGCCAGAGCUUGGUACACUCCCUAAACUUCAGACCUUGGAUCUCUCUAACAACUGCUUCUCUGGUUUGAUACCAGAUUCUCUUGAUCAAUUAAGUAGUCUGCAAUACCUGAGGCUGAACAACAACAGCUUGUCUGGCCCUUUUCCUGUGUCUUUAGCUAAAAUCCCUCAGCUCGCUUUCUUGUGAGUAUGGGUUUCUUUUCUCUCUUUACUAUUAGUUUUUGUUUGUAUGUCACUUUUCAGUUCCUACAAAAUGGAAAAAACCUUCAUCGUGGUAGAUCUUUUUGUUAUGCAAAACGUUUUUCUUUUAAAUUCUGAUUUAUGGAUUUGUAUUUUUUAUCAUUACUCUGGUGUUUCAGAGACUUGUCUUAUAACAAUCUAAGUGGACCAGUGCCUAAGUUCCCUGCAAGAACAUUUAAGUAUGUUUCUCUGCAGCAAUCAGUCUUUGAACAUUAUCUGUUUGAUCACUGACUCCUUGUUUUAUGUAAUCUUAUUCUGGUCUGAUAUUUCACCUUUGUUAAAUCUAGUGUUGUGGGCAAUCCACUGAUUUGUGGAAGUGCUACCACUGAAGGUUGCUUUGGAUUUGCCAAUGUUGGUCCCCUUUCUUUUUCUCUCAAUUCUCCUCCUGGUAAAGCCCUUCUCUUUUCUCCUGUGUUGACUUAUUUUUCUAUGUUAAAUAACCUUUUUCUUUAAUCUAAAAAAAAUAUAGGCAAACACAAGUCAAAGAAAUUAGCCACUGCUCUUGGGGUUAGUUUUAGUUUUGUCUCUCUCUUGCUCUUGGCACUUGUACUCCUUUGGGUCAGAAAGAAGCAGAGAAGCCAAACAAUACUUAACAUUAGUGACCAACAAGAUGAAGGACUACUUAGCCUCGGUAAUCUCAGGAACUUCACCUUCAGAGAGCUCCAACUUGCCACGGAUAAUUUCAGCUCAAAGAACAUACUUGGCGCUGGAGGCUUUGGCAAUGUGUACAGGGGAAAGCUAGGAGAUGGGACUAUGGUGGCAGUGAAGCGGCUAAAGGAUGUGAAUGGAAAUUCUGGGGAAUCACAGUUUAGGACAGAACUGGAAAUGAUCAGUCUUGCAGUUCACCGAAACUUGCUCAAGUUGAUCGGAUAUUGUGCCACUCCUAAUGAGAGGCUUUUAGUCUAUCCUUACAUGUCUAAUGGUAGUGUGGCCUCCAGGCUUAGAGGUUGGUUCUUACUAACCUUAUUGCAAUCACUAAUGAUAUUAAGGAAUGGUAAUAAUUUUGAUGGAUUCUGGCUUGUGCAGGAAAAAAGAAAAAAUCGAAUCACAGAAUGAUUUUCCUAUUGACAGUCAUUUUUCAGAGCAACAAUCAUCAUGCAUUUUGCUAACUUUUAAAAUUGAAUUUUUGCUGCUGAAUGUUACUAUUGAUUCUUUUAUCUAUCCUUGAUUCAUUUUAGCAGAUAUCUGACAUCAUGUACUGAUCACAACAGAAAAACCUGCACUAGAUUGGAACACGAGGAAGAGGAUAGCAAUUGGAGCUGCUAGGGGUCUUCUAUAUCUACAUGAACAAUGUGAUCCUAAAAUAAUUCAUAGAGAUGUGAAGGCUGCUAAUGUGCUUCUUGAUGAACUCUGUGAGGCUGUAGUUGGUGAUUUUGGCCUUGCAAAGCUCCUUGACCAUGCUGAUUCCCAUGUCACCACUGCUGUCCGUGGCACAGUUGGGCACAUUGCACCAGAGUACCUCUCCACUGGCCAAUCUUCUGAGAAAACUGAUGUUUUUGGAUUUGGCAUUCUCUUGAUAGAGCUCAUAACUGGAAUGAGAGCACUUGAGUUUGGAAAAACAUUUAGUCAAAAAGGAGCAAUGCUUGAGUGGGUGAAGAAGGUACAACAAGAAAAGAAAGUGGAAGAGUUGGUGGACAGAGUGUUGGACAGGAACUAUGACGAAAUCGAGGUUGGAGAGAUGCUGCAAGUGGCUCUUUUGUGCACUCAAUACCUCCCAGCCCACCGUCCCAAAAUGUCUGAAGUCGUCCGAAUGCUUGAAGGCGAUGGCCUUGCUGAGAAAUGGGCUGCAUCACAUAAUCAUAACAAUCCCACCAUGAACCUCUCUCCUGCAAACAACCCUAGUAAAAGCACAAUCCGUCCUACUGCAUCAAAGCAUGAUGAAAAUGGUCAUGAUCGUUCUAGCAACCUGUUUGGCAUGGGAAUGGAUGAAGAUGAUGAUGAACAUUCUUUGGAUUCCUAUGCCAUGGAACUCUCUGGCCCAAGAUAACAAAAAAAUAAAAAUAAAAAUUAA